rnacentral:ncRNA from 1 species
ACAGUACAAACUGAGCAGGCGAUCCAUACAGGGGUGAUACUCAGUAUGAAUGGGGCCGGGCCGCGGACGCGGCAGCAGAUGAACAGGAAGAAUCUGUGGGACAGU